UGGUUAAUUUUAUGUAUCAACUUAGGCUGUGGUACUCAAAUAUUUGGUCAAACACCAAUCUAGAUGGUGCCAUGAAGUUAUUUUUUUAGAAGUUAUUAACAUUUAAAUCAGUAGACUUUGAUUGUACUGAACUCAUUAUAUUCCAUAUCAUGGAGGCAGAUUACCCUCCAUAAUAUGGGUGGGCCUCACCCAAUCAGUUGAAGACUCUAUGAAAAAAAGAUUGAGGUCCACAGAGGAAGAAGGGAUUCUUCCUCUAGACUGCCUUUAGACUCAAGACCAAAACAUUAACUCUUUUUGGGUCUCCCAACUGCCCUGCAUAUUUCAGGCUUGAGAGACCCUAUAAUCACAUGAGCCAAUUCCUUAAAUCUUUCUCUCUCUGUAUAUAUAAAUAAUAGCCUAGUGGUUUUGUGUCUCUGGAGAACUUUGACUAACACAAUGGAUAAACUUGCUAUAUAUAAACACUUUUGCCCAAGACUUUUUGUAAACAUGUUUCCAUUUCCUUUGGGUAAAUAUCAAGGAGUGCAUCAAAGGUCAGUCAAUUGGGCAUAUAUUUAACUUUGUAAGAAAAUGCCAAACAGUUUUCAGGUGAUGGACAUUUUUUUCAUUCCCAUCAGCAAUAUGUGAGAGUUCUAGCUGCUGCACAUUCUUGUCAACAUUUAGUGGUGUCAGCCUAAUAUUUUUAACUUUAGCUGUUUUGAUGGGUGCGUGGGGAUAUGAAUUUGUAGUUUUAAUUAGCAUUUCUCUGAGAGCUAAUCAUGUUCAACACUUACAUGUGCUUAUUGGCUAUUUGCUUCUCUUCUUUGGUGGACUGCCUGUUCAAGAAUUUUUCAAUCUAUUCUCUUUGAAUUUCAAUGCCUAGUUGCUUGUUUUCUUUUAUGGCCACACCUGCAACAUAUGGAGUUCCCCCGGCCAGGGAUUUAAUCCAAGCCACAGUUGUGACUCAAGCCACAGCUACCACAAUGCCAGAUCCUUUAACCCACUCUGCCAGCCUGGGACCAAACUCACACCUCCACAGUGACUCAGGCUGCUGUGGUCAGAUUCUUAACCCACUGCACCACGGUGGGAAUACCAUCAAAUCCUAGUGUUUAGUAGGAGUUACAUAACUAUUGGAUGGAUGAAUGAAUGAAUGGGAGAAUGUUAUAGUAUCUGUCAUCAGUGAUUAUUCUGAAAUGAUUGUUAAAUCUUUGCCUAGUUAUUUAUAACACUUCUAAAGUGUUUCAAUAAUGCUUGACACAUCACAGCCAGCAUUUGUUAGCUACUAAUCACCAUCCCUAUUUUAUAUGUGAGGAAUUAGGGAUCAGAAAAGUUAUGUGACUUGACCAGGGUCACCUAGGUUCUAACUGUCAAAAUUGCUGCUCAACUCUAGGCUUCUCAAAUUCUGUAUUUCACAUUUUGCCAUUUUUUUGUUGUUAAUAGCUUGACCAACUAAAUAUUAGAAUCACCCUAAAGGUGUUACUUCACUUGUUUGUUCAACUAUUAUUUACGGCAAAUCUAAUAUGGCAAAUACAAUGGUGCUAAUCAUUUUACUUGUUUUAACUCAAUUUUCACUACAACUUUAUGAUGAAAGUACUGCUAUGUUUAUUUUACAGACAAUUAAACUGUAGUACAGAGAGGUUAUGCAAUUAUCCAAGAUCACUUAGCUAAUUAAGAGGUAUAAGAGGCUUCAAGUUCGUUCCAUCCCAUAUCAAUGCCUAUGUUUUUUGUUUCUAAACCACUAUACAUGACUAUAAUUGUGGACAAGUUGAAUUUGACAGACUAAUGAAAGAGCAGGAUGGAGAAGUCCAACGGAAUUAUAACAAUGAGGAGAAAGUUACUGGGCAGGCAGAGCAGGCAGUGUGUGAAUGCACAAGACUGUGCAUUCAGAAAACUAUAGUGCAAGACAGUACUAGGAAAGUGCUGGAUAUAUUCGAAGAUGAAGAAAUUCUAACAGUUUGACCUCAGAAAGUUCUACAGUGCCCCCCUUUUAAUGGACCUAUUUUGUCUACAGGAAUAGGUCUGUAAGAAUGAAAUCUUGUGAUCUACAUUGGGUUGUCCUUAAGAUACUCCACAAUAUUUUGGCAGCUGUUUGCUAUUAGAGUCCAAGACAGGUGGACCUGGGUUGCCUUCCCACAGGACCCAGGAGCUUAAGGUCAUUCCGAUAACCCCUUUUCUGUUUACUGGAAACUCCAAAAGCCCCCUGAGAGGCCCCUGGGGUCAGGCUGACUAAUCUCUCCUUCUGCUCAGGUUGUGCUCUUCUGGAAAGGCAGUGUGAGGGAGAGGGAGUGAAUCAGCCCCUUCAGGCUGUCAGUACCCAGGACUGGAGCUAAUCUGCGUUAUCUUAGUUCCCACAGGGUGAGUAAUCAUGCUGAGCCGGAAGAGCUAACCCUGGAAAACAGGUGCAAGGAUCCAAAAGGAGACCUUUGUGACCAUAAUAGCAGGUUAGCCGACACUUAGUUGAUAUUUACUCCUUGCCACAGAAGAUUUUUUGGACCAUGGUCUGUAGGAACAUUCAGGUUCCCUAAAAUUGAUCUCUGCACCCGUUAUUCGAGCAUCUCAGAAACACCAGCAAUGUGACCAGCCAGGACCCAAGGACCUGCCCAGCUUGUGGGGACUUGAGCAGCAGGUCUUAACUACAGUCUUCCUCUUGACACUCUGGAGGGGCAGGAGUUAACAAGGAGUGACUAAUCCAGGCCCUCCCUACUGGGCUACACACACAAACAUGUUUUUGAAGUCCUGUAUAUACUCAGCAGGGAACACACUGUUCUCUCUGGGUGGUUGCCAGAAACUUAUGAGAGAGUCAGAUUGAUGCCAAGAACAGAGACCAGGGCCUCUCUCCCGCCUCAGCAGGGGACACUGUGAGGUGCUGGGUGGCCACCGCUCCUCCCUGCUCCCCUAGCCUUCCAAACCAAGCCUACAGACUAUUUUUCUGCACUGUUCAACCUCUUGGUUAGUGUUUAAAUGAUUAUCAGAAACCACUAUAUAUCUUUGGACAACUGUAAUCACACUAUCCAAAGCCAAAUGCAAAUGUGUUCCUUCUACUUUCAUGCUUUGGCAUCUCAGCCUCAGGCUAUGAAAAAUAGCCAUCAACCUUUCCCAUUUCAUACAGGUACAAGCAGAGUUUGAGUUGCUGCCCUCCCAAGUUAGCCCUCUGCUGGAGCUUUGGCAAAGAACACAAGGAUUGCUUAAAAUUCAGUAAGUGCAGGAGUUCCCUGGUGGCUGAGUGGGUUAAGGAUCAGCAGGUGUUUUCACUGCUGUGGUGCAGGUUUGAUCACUGGCCCAGGAACUUCUGUAUGCUGCAGGAGCAGCCAAUAAGUAAGUAAGUAAGUAAAUAAAUAGAUAUUUUAAAGUAAGCUUUUAAUAUAUCCCUAUAUUUGUAUAGGGCAUCGCUUCCUGUUUGAAAACUAUUUGCAUAGUUCUCUAAGUUUCUAAGAUUCAACUGCUUUUUUGGUUUAUGGAAUUGAGAUUAACCAUGAUACAUUUACAUGGUGUCAAUUAUCUGAAAUGUAGGCAUUCACCCAAUUCAUCCAUCUAUCCAUUCAUUUAUUCACCUAUCCAUCCACCCAUCCAAUAAUUUUAAAGUCCCUAUAAGUAACUCAUCAGUCUUUAUAGCACUGAAGUUGAGAGAGAAUCCACAGUAAUUAAGAGACGAUAAAUGUCACACAGAUCCCUGUUGCUUAUUAAGCAACUGAAAAUAGAAAAGCUCAGGGGAGAAUGAUCUGUGUGAAAGUUAAAGAUUCUUCCAUGGAGUGAUUUUACCAACCAUAUGCAUCUGCAAAAUAUAGAAAGCCAAGCCCAGGCAAGAUAAGCUCAUUCUGUGCUCAGGACCUGCUAAUUGGCUUCACAUGUAUGUGGAUGGAACCCUCAUGGGGCUAGAUUCCCAUAUGGGGAGAGAAAUGAGAUAAUUCACUGAAAGAUAUGUCUGAGUCAGACUGAGGGAACUGUUAUGAACUGGGCUGUGGCUAUAAUCAGCGUUAGUGCGAGGAUGACACUUUAGGGAGAUAUUGAUGGUCAAGAUGCGUUGAGUUUGAAUGCUGUUUUUCCAUUUCCUAAGUAUGACCUUGGGCUGUUUGUUCACAUUAUUUAUUCAGUAAAUAUUUAUCGAGCCCUGUUAUGCACCAGGCAUGGUGUGAGGUGAUGGAAAUUCUCUUGCCCUCACAGUAUAACACUGAUCAUUUUUUGAGCUUCACUUUCCUAAUCGUAACAAUAGCUAUCCUUCAGAAUUGUGUGGAGUUACGUACAAGGCCUAUCUGAUUAGCUACUGAAUGGGACUUUUCUUAUUGUCUCAGGACUGGCAACUUGGUUACAAAGUGGGGGGCAAAUAGAUGAUAAUUAGAGGACACAUAGAUGAUUAGGAUUUAUUAAGAGGCAAAUUCAUUUUCUGCCCCAGUUAUCACUCCCUACUCGUUAAUCUCAUCUGAGAAAAGUGCUGAGCUUCAGAAAGAGUUCCAUAUCUUCUACUCUUGGAGAGUGCUCCUUCUAAAAUAAGCCAAUGGGCUGCCCCAAGAGAAUUAUCUGUAGAGACUGGGGAGGGGGUACCAGCAGGCAGUCGAGCCUGGAAUCUCAUUUUUUAGUUGGAUACCCGCUUAUGCGAUGAAUGAAUUUGCUAAACUGUACUUUUUGUCUAUCUAAGCAAUGGGAAAGAGAUUUAGGGAGAGAACUCAGUGUAGAGAAAAUGAGCAGUAGGGGGAUAGGCCACACUCCCAUUAUCUGACAGGAAAAAGGUGCAUGAGUCUUGUGUAGAUCAAGUGGAUGCCAUGGAAAUCUUGAAUUAUUGUGAUGGAACCCUAUCCUAAAGUGUGACUAAGAGAAAAGACCCAGCAGGGAAAGUUUGUAGGGUGGAUUAUAUAAGGGUGGGAUUUGAGGGAGAUUGGAAAAUGUCCACUGGAGCUGAUUUCCUAUAAGAGGUGGCCAUGCAGUGAAGAGGCUGCCAAAGAACCUUCCAGAGAAUCCUCAGGUGUCUCCCAAGAGGUGUGAUAUUGGGAUGGUUGCCAUGGGGGAGGGCAGAGAUCAUAAUGGCAAUGAUAAGGAAAAACAUUUCUGCUCCCUUUGAGAAUUCUGUCUUCCUCUCUUUAACACAGCAAAGGACUCAGAAGUUGUGUGUGGGACAGGGGUGGGGGUGUAGGCUGGGGGGAAGCAUCUAGAGAUGCCCCUUCUCCUUGCCCACAUUCAUACCUCAGGGCUGUUCCUGGGUCUAGGGAAGAAGAUGGACAUUUAAAUCGGAUGAAAAAUGGACAUAGAAGGCACUGGAGUAUAUCUUUUACAACCUGAAAAGGUCAGAAAACUGGCAUCUGCUGGAGGUGCCAUAAAGUCUUGGGAAGGGGCGAUGCAGUGGAGCAUGUUUUAGAGCAGUAAUUGAAGAAAAAUAAAACCCUAUGGAGUUUGAACCCUGCUGAGUUCACAGUGUUCAAUAAACUGCUGACAAAUGUGAAGUGCUUAGCAAACAGUCAGUGCUUCACAAAUGGAAGGUAUCAUUACUCCUAGUCACCUGAAGAAAAUAAAUAUUCAGAAAAUGUCCACAUGUUUUAAUAUCAAAGAGCAAGUAAGAUGCUCAAUUUGGAUUUUUGCUUUAGGAGAAAGCAUAAUGUUGUGUUCAUUAUGUCCUCAUGUUUCUGUUUUUGUCAUGAAGGGCUUCUCAGAAUGUUUUCUGGGCUGUUUCACCACAUUCCUUUUGCUAUUUUAGGCAUUUACCAUUUUUGUCAUUUCAUAGACAGCCCACUCACCCCCCUACCCCACCCCCCGCCCUCAGGGAAUGAGAAAAUCAUAAAGGUGCUCUAUCCCCAAGCUCCAACUUAGAUGAAGAUAAAAUCCUAUUUAAUUAUUGGAAAAAUACUUCAAGUUCUUAAAAACAAAGUAUCUUGUGUAGGUGUGCAAUAAAGCAGUUUCUGCAGAUUCAGUACACAGAGAGGAGACUGAGAGUCCUGACGUAGUGAAGCAGAAGGACAAGGACACUGGGGUUGGCCCAGAAGACGCUAAUGACUUCCAGCAAUGUGACACUUACGUGUGUGCUAUUCAACCCCAUUUAGCGUCCAUUUCUUCAACUAUCCAAUGGGGGGUUUAUCAAGGACCACACAAAUGAUUUAAAUGAGCUGAUUCUGUAAAGCAUGUAGCCCAGUGCUAGGCACAAUUUGAUGCUCAAGAGAAAACUGUUUUCCCCUUUCCAAGGUUGCAGGGUAAGUAGAAAUAGUGGGUGGUUCAGUGGAAAGAGAGCUACUGGGAAGGGAGUAUCUGAAAAAAUUUACUGAAUAUUCACUUGCCAAUUAAGCCAACUAGAGCUGGUGACAGUUUAAAUGGCACUAUUAAGAAGAGUCACAGAAAAUCAUGAUGACACCAUUGGAGCAGAGUGAGGUACUGGUAUUUUUAUAUUUAUUUUAUAAUGUAUUAAUAUCCUGAUAUUAAUAUCUGUUUAUUUAAAAGCAGUGUUCAGAAUUCAGAAAAAAAUUUAAAAAUCAUUGAAUAUAAAUAUCUGGUACAUUUCACCUACAAAAUGUAUAAACAUAUUAAAUAACAUUGAAUGAAACUUAAAUUUCAAAAAUAUAAAUAUUAACCACACAUUACCAUUCUAAGUAGAAUAGCAGGGGAAACAAUAAAAAUAAUCACACCAAAUAAACAUUACAUAAAGUGAAUAAAGUUAAUCCUAAAAAUUGAAAAUGAAUUAUAUUAUUUGAUUUUUUGGAAGAUCUGUUCUUAAGAACCAAGUGUAUCAAUGAUGUCACCUUUGAUGGUGAGCCUAGACUGGGGUAAAAUUUUUCUAGCCAUUAGUUUAUAUUUUAUACUAGAUGGAAGAAUAGUAAAGAGAUAAAUAUAUACUAAAUCCAAAUAUCUUUCUCUGUAUCUACAAAUGAUCUUAUCUCUAUAUGAUAAUACAAAGAUACCCUUUUUGAAAUUUUAAUUUUUAUUAAAGACUUCAAUAUUUUUAUUGACAGUGAGCGGUAGUUAUUGCUCCUAAGACCCAGCAGUCAGUUUGCAAGAUGCCUAGUUCUUAGUUUCUGCUUUGAAACAGCCUUUGUUCAAACAAACAAAGCAAAUCAAUCACACAGAUAAGAAGUUUCUACCACUGAACACUGAUUAUUUUUGCUGUCAACCUGACUCCAUUCCAAGUGCAGAUAUCUUGAGGGUGAGACUGAGUCAUUGUUCUUUAUAAUUCUCUUUUAGGGAGGCUCUCCUCCUUUAGAUAUGCAGGUUAAUGCAAAAAAGAAAACAAAACAAAACAAAAAAAACUUCUUUCAAGAAGUAGAACUAAAGAAAUUUGAUCUGGGAAAAUCUGUGUGGAGUUCCAACCUUUUUCACUUACUAGCCCAGAUGCCUUGAAAGAUCAUAGAGUCUCCCUUUCAAUGCCGGGUUUAACUCUCUAGGUACUUCUCAAGAUCCUAAAUAAUUCAGAUUUCAUAUUUUUUUAAAAUACUAAAAUAAUAGUAUCACACUAGAAAAAGAUUGGUUCUUUGGUACUUAACAAUCAGUAACAUGAUAUAUGGCAGUUCUUGAAUGUUGCAAUUAUUACUAUUAUUGUCUUUUUAGGGCCGCACCCAUGGCAUAUGGAGGUUAUUCACCUACUAUAUUGUCUAAAUUCCAUUGUCAACUUUUUUUUUUCUUUUUAGGGCCACACCUGAGGCUUAUAGAAGUUCCCAGGCUAGAAACUGAAUCAGCUACAGCUGCCUGCCUACACCACAGCUCACGGCAAUGCCGGAUUCCCUGAAUCACUGAGCAAGGCCAGGAAUCGAACCCGCAUCACCAUGAAUACUAGUCGGAUUCAUUUCUGCUGCGCCACAACGGGAAUUCCCUAAAUUCCAUUUUUAGAAUAAGUCCACAUUGAUUUAAGGCAGCUACUUACAGGAUAUUCUUAAAUACAUGAAUACACCUUUAGUUAUUAAUAACUUGGCAUAAACUGUUGUUCAGCCAAGUAAUGGAGAAUGGGACCCAGACCAAGUCUGCUGCUCUUUGAGGCUGAGCUGUAGACAGAGAAUAGCAGGCAAAGAGGAAGAUAAUUACAAUUGUAGGGUAGGACCUGGGAGGGAGGUGCAGCAGGUUGGCCCUGGAGAGGCUGGAAGGCCUCAGGAUGACAAAGUGGGCUUGGAAGCAAUGCUGAUAGAGGCAGGGAAGGGCCAGGUGCGGGGUAGGGAAGAGAAGAUGAACACCUCCUCUCCACCAUGUUUACAUCGGACUCACUCUUGUUGCAGAACCCUUGAGAAAAUGUAUCUUAAAAAAGCGACAGUCCAUGCUCUUAACAGCUUGAGGAAGGGAGUAAGUCAGACCUAAUGCUGUUAUUGACCCUCCCAAGUUGGUCUCCAACAGGUGUCCUUCUGCCUGGUACCAUUAGGGCCGUCAGAACAGGACCCAGUGGGGAUCAGGAGAAAAGGCAAGUUUUAUUGAUUGAUUACAGAAUGGAGAGGUGUGAGCUUGCCUCUAAAGCACACACUUGCUCCACAAGCCACAGGCGGGGCUGCUUAAGGGACCUCAGUGUUGGGAGGGGCUGGAGUGCUCCUGCUGCUGGUCCAGCUGCACCGCUCAGGCGCAUGCGCAGUUUGCAGGGCCAGGUGCCGCUUCCUUCACGCAGCCCCGCCACCACCACCAUUUUGAAUUGCAGUGGCCUGACGUGAGCUUCUGAUCUUCUGAACACAGCGAGCUGAGGUGUCCAUGCAGCCCUUUUGCAGGAGGACUACUGGUUUGAAGCGCUGAGUGCCAGGCCUCUGGACACGGCCUCCUGUGAGCAAGAGAAACCAGAAGAAGCACGAAAGAGGAGAAAUUGCCAAGCUGAUCAUAAAAUUCAUAUGGAUUUUUAAGAAAACCGGAAGAUUCAAAAUAAUCCUGAAAAAGAAGAAUGAAGUUGUAAGUUGGAGGACUUAUACGUCCCAAUUUCAAAACUUACUAUAUAAAGCUAUGAUAAUCAAGACAGUGUGGCACAGUCAUAAUGAUAGACAUAUAGAUCAACAGAGUAGAAUUAAGAGUCCAGAAGUAAACCCUGCAUUUAUAGUCAGUCGUCUUUGGACAAAACUACCCCUAAAAAAAUUGAAUGGAGGAAAGAAUAUUUUUUCAAUAAAUGAUACCAGGGUAACAAGAUAUUUGUAUAAAGAAUGACACUGGAUGUAUAGCUCACAUCAUAUACAGAAGUUAAGUAAAAAUGGAUCAUAGACCUAAAUGUAAGCACUAAAAAAUAAUGCUCUUAGAAGAAAAGAUAGGCACAGAUCUGUUGCCUUGGAUUUGGCAAUGGUUUUUGAAUUAUGACAACAAAAGUACAAGCAACAAAACAAAAAAAAUAGACUAAACAGACUUUAUCAAAACUAAAACUUUUGUGCAAUAAGGGACAUAAUCAAGAAAGUGAGAAGACUGCCCACUGGAUGGGAGAAAAUAUUUGGAAAUCAUAUACCUAAUAGGGGACUUGGAUCUAGAAUAUAUAAAGGACUCUCACAAGUCAAAAAUAAAGACUAAGCAAAUUUUAAAAAUCACAUAGUAUCUGCAUAGACAUUUCUCCAAAAAAGAUUUACAAAUGAUAAAUCAAAAUCAUAAUGAGCAGUUUCCAUUGUGGCUCAGUA